UAAGGAAUAUUGGUCAAUGGGCGCAAGCCUGAACCAGCCAUGCCGCGUGCAGGGAGACGGCCCUAUGGGUUGUAAACUGCUUUUAUCAGGGAAUAAACCCCCGCUCGUGAGCGGGGCUGAAGGUACCUGAAGAAUAAGCAUCGGCUAACUCCGUGCCAGCAGCCGCGGUAAUACGGAGGAUGCAAGCGUUAUCCGGAUUCAUUGGGUUUAAAGGGUGCGCAGGCGGAUUGGUAAGUCAGGGGUGAAGUCCCACAGCUCAACUGUGGAACUGCCUUUGAUACUGUCAGUCUAGAGUAUAGUUGAAGUGGGCGGAAUGUGUCAUGUAGCGGUGAAAUGCUUAGAUAUGACACAGAACACCGAUCGCGAAGGCAGCUCGCUAAGCUAUAACUGACGCUCAUGCACGAAAGCGUGGGGAUCAAACAG
rnacentral:rRNA from 1 species